GAGACAGUGUGUAUACGUAAACACACUGUAAUAACGAGCUUUAAUCGCUGGACGAAGAAGUUUGGUACUUACAAUAAUGGUUAGACAACUAGAAAAUCUUCUAAAAGAACUAGGAUGGGCAGAUGGCUUUCGUAUUCCAGUGGCGAAUGAGGCAAAUAAGGCUCUAGAAGAACAGGUUGAGCACAGUAUAAAAAAGAAAGGUGAAUUAACUAUUCAGUUUGAGGAUCUGAGUGAUCGAGUGGAUUCCCUCUUGAAGCAUACUCAAAAUGUCAAAGUUGAGCAUCAGCAGAACCAGGAUAUACUUAUUGCACAUAAAAGACAAAUGGAGACAGAGAAAAACCUGUAUCAGACAGCAAAGGCUGAACAAGCUAGUUAUGAAUGGGAAUUACGACUUAUCAACAAGGCUUUUCAUGAGCUUGGAGAGAGACAUUUUAUACUGCAGAAUGGAAUCAUUACUCAUACUGAGAGACUGGAGAAGCUAAAAGCAAACGUGAAGUGGGACAAAGAUGUUUUGUUGUCAUGGGAGGAGAAUGUGGCAAAAGAUAAUGAACACACUCAGCUGCUGGCAAGAUAUGCUGUUGAGGAUGAAAGUAAAUCAAAGGAACUUGAAUUGACGCGUGUACGAUUAUGUGCAGAAGUGGAUGAAAGAAAUCAGCUUCUCACUAAAAUUAUUGGUGAUGUAGAAUCACUUGAGCGAGUGUUGGAUCGAACAGCAAAGAUGUUUAGGCAAGCUCACAGUGAACGUCAAGAAUUUAUUAGCCAGUGGGAAGGUUCAGUGCAAGUUCUACACCAGCGGGAUUAUGAUAUUCACAGUAGAGUGCAAGAAAUAUCCAUGUUGCGUGCUGAAGCACGGAAAAAGCUAGAAAUUCUAAGAGAGCAAGGGCAGUUUUUUAGAAAUGAAGUAAAUAAUAACAAGGAAACAGAAGCCCAGAUCUCGCUUAUUACUCGUUCUGCUAUCAGAUUGCGAGAUGAUUACAGCACCUUACUCAACACUAUUGAUGAACUUACGAGUGAACUUGGAACAAUGCAGCGCACAUUGACAGGAACUGCUUUACACCUGGAAAACCAGCGGCAAAGGAAGAAAGUGCUGGCCAAUGAUAAUGUAGCCAAACAUAAUCAUAUUAAAGAACUAGUUGAAGUGGUGCAGAGAACAAAAGAACGGUUGGCACAGGUUACUGACAGGACUAUGUCUGCAGCUGAGAGGGCACAACAUUUGGAAGAGAUGAUAAAGUGUGAGGAGAAGACGAUAGAUAUCUUACUCCAGGACACGAGGAAACUCAGUGACAAACUGUUUAAAACCCAACAAGAAUUAUCUGAUCUUAAAAAGCAAGAGGAACAGCAUCAUAUUGAAAUCCGUGGACUGGAAUCAGAAAAAUCUGUGGUUUUGUCUCAUAUUCAGAGAACACAGAAAGAGCUUCAAUACCAGAGGGAGAUUAUCUACAACAAGGAAUUUGAAGCCCAAAUGAUUGAGUCUCGCAUUGGUCACCUCACAGGUACUGGUCAAGAUGCUGAAGAAAAAGAAGCCAAUGAGAAGAAGAUUGCAGAGCUGGAAGAGGUUCUCAAUGAAAAAAUGGCAACUUUCGACCUACUUACAGCCCAGAACCAAAGAUUAGAGAAUAGGAUGCAGAGGUUGACCAAGGCCCUCAGUGCAGGUUCAGCAGAGCUAGAAAAGCUGGUAGAUAAACGCCAGGAUAAAAUCCUGCUAACAGAUGGUGGACAGAAACAGCUGAAGCUCAACAAGGUUCACAAUCAAGAGAAGCAGGUGGAGGAGAAUAUUCUUCUUCUCAGGGUGGCUCAGGCUGAAAGAGCAAUAGCCCAAGAAGGGAAUAAAGUACACACACUGGAGAAGCAGAAGCUUGAAUUGGAUGCUGCUAUGAAGGAGCGGAAAGUGGAGAUUGGUGUGCACAAAGAUGUCCUCUUCAUUCAGAAACGAAACUUGAGUGAAGAGAAAUCUCACUUAAUAGCUGACAUCAAAGCAUGUGAAUUGAAAAUCAGCCAGCUGCAGAAGAAAUAUGAUAUUGUUAUGAGUUCACUUGGGCAAGCUGAAGAUGGAGAACAACUUUCAGUCACAUAUUUCAAAAUAAAGAGUGCACAAGAGAAAUAUGAGCUUCAACAGCAAGGUGAUGAAUUGGAUGCAAAAAUAAGGAGAACUGAAAAAGAAAUUCAAGCUAUGGAAAAUACGCUGAAGGUUAUAAAUUCAACAAAUGAGAAAUAUAAAAGGAGCUUGUCAACUGUAGAUGAAGAUAGUGAUGAGUAUAAAAAGAAAGAGGAGUUGGAAUCUCUUUAUUAUGUUGCUGUCAAUACAUGGAGACAACAGACAUCACAGCUGAAUGAACUCAGCAGUCAGACUGAGAUACUGGAACAAGCUUUAAAGGAUAUAUUCAUAACAGAAGGUAAUCUCCGUGCUGUAUGGCAAAACAAAGAUCAAGAUUCAAGUGACUUGGAGAAGGAUUUGCAAGAACAAAUUUCUAAACUUCAACGUGCAGAAAAACAGCUACACAAAGCUCUAAGAGAAUUAAGAGGAGUGAGCCAGACAAAGCCCAUGGCACUGGAGAAGAAAGAUAUCGAGGUGCGUGAGUUGCAAGAACAGAACCAAAGUGCUCUUCAGCAGUUGGCUGAAUUUGUAGCUCGUCACAUAGAGGCAGGGCCAGUAGUGACACGCUAUCUGGAGGAGAAGUGUCUGGUUCUUCCCAUGUCUCAUAGUCCUGGAGGAUCUCUCAGCUGUAUUUCAUCACGAGAUUUUCUCAGACACUCACCUGUAAAGAGAUCACCAUCACUGAGCAAACAUGCACUUCCAGGACCAGGUUCACCAUCAUCUAUUCAGUUGUGUGCCACUUGUUCUUCCCAAGAUUUGGCCAGUAAUCAUGAAUCAUCUAGAUCCAGUAAGAGCUCAACUUCUGCUAGCGUCAUAACACUGGAUGCAGCUCUCUUGGAUGGUGAUUGUCUUUAACAUGUUGAAUGACCUAGGAGAAUGAUUUCCUUACUGUGUUACUCACGGAAUUCUAAUGUUCUCUGAAAACUACUUUUCUUUACUGUUACUGGUCUACAUAUACUCUAGUGUAUGUAAAAAUGCCUGUUCUUCACUUGUGAUGUGGUUGCAUUCCUUCUCAGUGUCACAAUAUGUAGCAUCUCAAACAUUAAAGAAGAAAUAACACUCAAGUUGAAAAAUUCUUGGAUAUAACAUUGUGUAGUCCAGUACAAGUUCAUCAGUGUUUCUGAGGAACACACUGCCUCUAUCUUCGGGGUAUAAUCAUAAGGCAAGCAAGUUGCCAGCAACAAACAAAACAAAAACAUAGUCCUGUUCAUAGUCACCACUGUGAGAACCUUAAACCCAGCAUAAGAAAUUAAAGUUUAUUCAUGUAACUAGGGAAAGAAAAGAUUAGAAGUAAUUAUUUAAAGCACAUCCAAGAAACUCUACAGCAAUACAUACACAUUAAUUUAAUAACUAUGGCUGGCAUAUAUGUAUAUUGAUAAGAGUAAGCAGUAAAAUUUGUAAUAUCUUGUCUUUGGAGACAAUAAAAGUGAGUUCUAAGGAAUAAAGAAAGUAAAUUAGUGAUAGGAACCUGGAAUGUUAAGACUUUACUGAAAUCUAGGAAAAUGUCAGAUGUAAAGGAAGAGCUGAGGGAUUUAGGAAUUUAUAACUGGAUAACUCGCACACGGGAGUAGUUCGAAGGAAAUUGUUGAGCAGGCCAAAGCAUUCAAGAAGUGAAGCUGUCAAGCCUUAUGAAGAAGAAGAAGAAGAAGAAGAAGAAGAAGAAGGAGGAGGAGGAGGAGGAGGAGGCUAUGGACUUUACAGUUGGGCUUCAAUUCCCUCCAGGGAUAGAAAUUUUCUCGUGUCAUCACAUCCAAACUGGCUCUAGAGCUCACCUGGCCUUGAAUCCGUUGGGUACUAAGAGUUCUUUCCUUUGGGGUGUUGACGCUGCAGCAUCAGCAAAAGCUGUCUGUGGCCCUGCAUCGUGUUUGAAACACAAGCCAAAAAAGGAAU